rnacentral:rRNA from 1 species
GGGAAUUGUUCGCAAUGGGCGAAAGCCUGACGACGCAACGCCGCGUGGGGGAUGAAUGGCUUCGGCCCGUAAACCCCUGUCAUUUGCGAACAAACCUUACGAUUUAAUAGAUCGUGAGCUGAUUGUAGCGAAAGAGGAAGGGACGGCUAACUCUGUGCCAGCAGCCGCGGUAAUACAGAGGUCCCAAGCGUUGUUCGGAUUCACUGGGCGUAAAGGGUGCGUAGGUGGUCGGGUAAGUCUGAUGUGAAAUCUCCGAGCUUAACUCGGAAAUGGCAUUGGAUACUAUUCGGCUAGAGGGUUUGAGGGGGGACUGGAAUACUUGGUGUAGCAGUGAAAUGCGUAGAUAUCAAGUGGAACACCAGUGGCGAAGGCGAGUCCCUGGAAAACUCCUGACACUGAGGCACGAAAGCUAGGGGAGCAAA